rnacentral:rRNA from 1 species
CCUACGGGAGGCAGCAGUGGGGGAUAUUGCACAAUGGGGGAAACCCUGAUGCAGCGACGCCGCGUGGGCGAAGAAGUAUUUCGGUAUGUAAAGCUCUAUCAGCAGGGAAGAAGAAAUGACGGUACCUGAGUAAGAAGCACCGGCUAAAUACGUGCCAGCAGCCGCGGUAAUUCGGUUGGUGCAAGCGGUAUCCGGAUAUACUGGGUGUAAAGGGAGCGCAGGCGGGACUGCAAGCCUGAUGUGAAAGCCCGCGGCCCAAACGGUGGACUGCAUUGGAAAGUACCGGGCUGGAGUGCCGGAGAGGAAGGCGGAAUUCCUAGUGUAGCGGUGAAAUGCGUAGAUAUUAGGAGGAACACCAGUGGCGAAGGCGGCCUACUGGACGGUGACUGACGCUGAGGCUCGAAAGCGUGGGGAGCAAACAGGAUUAGAUACCCCUGUAGUC